rnacentral:lncRNA from 1 species
UUUACUACACCAAAUCAUUAUUGAAAGAAUCAUUUAUCCUUAUUUCAUAUCUUUUUUAAAAAAAUCAAAUAUAUGUGUUAAACACUAAAACAAGAGAAUAUGCGGAUUUUUUACGAUUAAUUUUAUUGACUUAUAUUGUAAUUUGUUGAUAUUUGAGUUGUUUUAAAUAUGAAAUUCUUAAAUAAAAUAUAUUGAUAACAAAAUAUGUUGUUUUAAAAAAAUUACAAUGAAAAAAAGAAAUAAAAAAAUGACGUUUUUAUAUACAAAGAUGGGUUAAAGUUAUGAAAAAUAAGACAAAUAUUAAAAAUAACGUAGAGUUACUAUUGUUAGAAACAUGAAACCUAUUAGAUGGAUACAUGGCAAAAGAGGUAAGUUUGCUUUUUUACAUUAUAGGAUGGGUGGAAGAACUCUAAAUGCAUGACUUUGAAUUAAAAUGGCAUUUACAAAUACUGAUUACUUAGCUAAUUAUUGUAUUUUUUCUCAUCAUAGUAGCCUUCUUGAGGUGACUAUGUUUACUACACCAAAUCAAAUUGACUUAAAUUGUAAUGUGUUGAUAUUUGAGUUGUUUUAAAUAUGAAAAUCUAAAAUAAAAUAUAUUGAUAUCAAAAUAUGUUGUUUAAAAAAAUUACAAUGAAAAAAAGAAAUAAAAAAAAAGAGGUUUUUAUAGACAAAGAUGGGUUAAAGUUAUGAAAAAUAAAACAAAUAUUGAAAAUAACGUAGAGUUACUUUUGUUAGAAACAUGAAACCUAUUAGAUGGAUACAUGGCAAAAGAGGUAAGUUUGCUUUUUUACAUUAUAGGAUGGGUUGAAGCACUCCAAAUGCAUGACUUUGAAUUAAAAUGGCAUAUACAAAUACUGAUUACUUAGCUACUUAUUGUAUUUUUUUUCAUCAUAGUAGCCUUCUAUAGGUGAUUAUGUUUACUACACCAAAUCAUUAUUGAAAGAAUCAUUUAUCCUUAUUUCAUACGUUUUUAAAAAAAAUCAAAUAUAUGUGUUAAACACUAAAACAAGAGAAUAUGCGGAUUUUUUAUGAUUAAUUUUAUUGACUUAAAUUGUAAUGUGUUGAUAUUUGAGUUGUUUUAAAUAUGAAAAUCUAAAAUAAAAUAUAUUGAUAUCAAAAUAUGUUGUUUAAAAAAAUUACAAUGAAAAAAAGAAAUAAAAAAAUGACGUUUUUAUAGACAAAGAUGGGUUAAAGUUAUGAAAAAUAAAACAAAUAUUGAAAAUAACGUAGAGCUACUUUUGUUAGAAACAUGAAACCUAUUAGAUGGAUACAUGGCAAAAGAGCUAAGUUUGCUUUGAACAUUAUAGGAUGGGUUGAAGCACUCCAAAUGCAUGACUUUGAAUUAAAAUGGCAUAUACAAAUACUGAUUACUUAGCUACUUAUUGUAUUUUUUUUCAUCAUAGUAGCCUUCUAUAGGUGACUAUGUUUACUACACCAAAUCAUUAUUGAAAGAAUCAUUUAUCCUUAUUUCAUACCUUUUUAAAAAAAAUCAAAUAUAUGUGUUAAACACUAAAACAAGAGAAUAUGCGGAUUUUUUAUGAUUAAUUUUAUUGACUUAAAUUGUAAUGUGUUGAUAUUUGAGUUGUUUUAAAUAUGAAAAUCUAAAAUAAAAUAUAUUGAUAUCAAAAUAUGUUGUUUAAAAAAAUUACAAUGAAAAAAAGAAAUAAAAAAAUGACGUUUUUAUAGACAAAGAUGGGUUAAAGUUAUGAAAAAUAAAACAAAUAUUGAAAAUAACGUAGAGCUACUUUUGUUAGAAACAUGAAACCUAUUAGAUGGAUACAUGGCAAAAGAGCUAAGUUUGCUUUGAACAUUAUAGGAUGGGUUGAAGCACUCCAAAUGCAUGACUUUGAAUUAAAAUGGCAUAUACAAAUACUGAUUACUUAGCUACUUAUUGUAUUUUUUUUCAUCAUAGUAGCCUUCUAUAGGUGACUAUGUUUACUACACCAAAUCAUUAUUGAAAGAAUCAUUUAUCCUUAUUUCAUACCUUUUUAAAAAAAAUCAAAUAUAUGUGUUAAACACUAAAACAAGAGAAUAUGCGGAUUUUUUAUGAUUAAUUUUAUUGACUUAAAUUGUAAUGUGUUGAUAUUUGAGUUGUUUUAAAUAUGAAAAUCUAAAAUAAAAUAUAUUGAUAUCAAAAUAUGUUGUUUAAAAAAAUUACAAUGAAAAAAAGAAAUAAAAAAAUGACGUUUUUAUAGACAAAGAUGGGUUAAAGUUAUGAAAAAUAAAACAAAUAUUGAAAAUAACGUAGAGCUACUUUUGUAAGAAACAUGAAACCUAUUAGAUGGAUACAUGGCAAAAGAGCUAAGUUUGUUUUUUUACAUUAUAGGAUGGGUUGAAGCACUCUAAAUGCAUGACUUUGAAUUAAAAUGGCAUUUACAAUUACUUAUUACGUAACUACUGAUUGUAUUUUUUAAUCAUAGUAGCCUUUUCAAGGUGACUAUGUUUACUACACCAAAUCAUUAUUGAAAGAAUCAUUUAUCCUUAUUUCAUAUCUUUUUAUAAAAAAAUCAAAUAUAUGUGUUAAACAAUAAAAUAAGAGAAUAUGCGGAUUUUUUAUGAUUAAUUUAAUUGACUGAAAUUGUAAUGUGUUGAUAUUUGAGUUGUUUUAAAUAUGAAAAUCUUAAAUAAAAUAUAUUGAUAUCAAAAUAUGUUGUUUUAAAAAAAUUACAAUGAAAAAAAGAAAUAAAAAAAUGACAAUGAAAAAAAGAACUUAAAAAAUGACGUUUUUAUAUACAAAGAUGGGUUAAAGUUAUGAAAAAUAAGACAAAUAUUGAAAAUAACGUAGAGCUACUUUUGUUAGAAACAUGAAACCUAUUAGAUGGAUACAUGGCAAAAGAGCUAAGUUUGCUUUUUUACAUUAUAGGAUGGGUUGAAGCACUCUAAAUGGAUGACUUUGAAUUAAAAUGGCAUUUACAAUUACUUAUUACGUAACUACUGAUUGUAUUUUUUAAUCAUAGUAGCCUUUUCAAGGUGACUAUGUUUACUACACCAAAUCAUUAUUGAAAGAAUCAUUUAUCCUUAUUUCAUAUCUUUUUAUAAAAAAAUCAAAUAUAUGUGUUAAACAAUAAAAUAAGAGAAUAUGUAGAUUUUUUAUGAUUAAUUUAAUUGACUGAAAUUGUAAUGUGUUGAUAUUUGAGUUGUUUUAAAUAUGAAAAUCUUAAAUAAAAUAUAUUGAUAUCAAAAUAUGUUGUUUUAAAAAAAUUACAAUGAAAAAAAGAAAUAAAAAAAUGACGUUUUUAUAUACAAAGAUGGGUUAAAGUUAUGAAAAAUAAGACAAAUAUUAAAAAUAACGUAGAGUUACUUUUGUUAGAAACAUGAAACCUAUUAGAUGGAUACAUGGCAAAAGAGGUAAGUUUGCUUUUUUACAUUAUAGGAUGGGUUGAAGAACUCUAAAUGCAUGACUUUGAAUUAAAAUGGCAUUUACAAAUACUGAUUACUUAGCUAAUUUUUGUAUUUUUUCUCAUCAUAGUAGCCUUCUUGAGGUGACUAUGUUUACUACACCAAAUCAUUAUUGAGAGAAUCAUUUAUCCUUAUUUCAUACCUUUUUUAAAAAAAUCAAAUAUAUGUGUUUAACACUAAAACAAGAGAAUAUGUGGAUUUUUUAUGAUUAAUUUUAUUGACUUAAAUUCUAAUGUGUUGAUAUUUGAGUUGUUUUAAAUAUGAAAAUCUAAAAUAAAAUAUAUUGAUAUCAAAAUAUGUUGUUUAAAAAAAUUACAAUGAAAAAAACAAAUAAAAAAAUGACGUUUUUAUAGUCAAAGAUGGGUUAAAUUUAUGAAAAACAAGACAAAUAGUGAAAAUAACGUAGAGCUACUUUUGUUAUAAACAUGAAACCUAUUAGAUGGAUACAUGGCAAAAGAGCUAAGUUUACUUUUUUACAUUAUAGGAUGGGUUGAAGCACUCUAAAUGGAUGACUUUGAAUUAAAAUGGCAUUUACAAUUACUUAUUACGUAACUACUGAUUAUAUUUUUUAAUCAUAGUAGCCUUUUCAAGGUGACUAUGUUUACUACACCAAAUCAUUAUUGAAAGAAUCAUUUAUCCUUAUUUCAUAUAUUUUUAUAAAAAAAUCAAAUAUAUGUGUUAAACAAUAAAAUAAGAGAAUAUGUAGAUUUUUAAUGAUUAAUUUAAUUGACUGAAAUUGUAAUGUGUUGAUAUUUGAGUUGUUUUAAAUAUGAAAAUCUUAAAUAAAAUAUAUUGAUUUCAAAAUAUGUUGUUUUAAAAAAAUUACAAUGAAAAAAAGAAGUAAAAAAAUUACAAUGAAAAAAAGAAAUAAAAAAAAGACGUUUUUAGAGACAAAGAUGGGUUAAAGUUAUGAAAAAUAAAACAAAUAUUGAAAAUAGCGUAGAGGUACUUUUGUAAGAAACAUGAAACCUAUUAGAUGGAUACAUGGCAAAAGAGCUAAGUUUGCUUUGAACAUUAUAGGAUGG